GCUGCUGCUUGCACCUGCUGCUGGCGCCCGGCGCUGGCCCCGAUCACUUGGUGCCAUCAGCGGGUGCAAGUGGCAGCUG
rnacentral:pre_miRNA from 1 species